CUUCAACUGCUAAGUCCCUUGGGAAGGAACUGGAGCAGUGGAAAUUUUAUAUCCAACUCUUCUAAUUGGAGCUAUAGGAUAUAUGGGCCAUGAAGCCAGCAGUGUAGGUGCCAUGGCUUUAGCCUUUGACAUCCUCUCACUAAAACAGAAGGAAAAAUUUGCGUUGCUAGGAUACCCUCGCAUUCUAGACUCUGCAAUGCCUUGAGCCUUUGACUCUUGACUUUUAUGUCUUUUUUCAUCUGUCAAGGCUCUCAGAUGAAAGGAGAGUAUCAGGAAGCCAUGUACUGGCAUCACACUUUGCAAGAUACAGAUUGACUUCUCUUAUUUCUUCUCUCAUUUAAGCAUUCUCCUUUCCUUUCUUCUAAUUGGUUCCAGAAGUUCUUGAUACAAAUGUCAUGUUGGGUGAACAGUGGCAAAUGUAUGCUAACUCAAGUGCCAGUCCCGACCCAUUGUGGCAACUGCCUAGAAAACUAUGUGAAGAAGCAUUCUAAGCUAAGGUAAAGGGCACAUCAGAGAGUGGGAGAGAAAACUAGUCAACAUCUUUAUUAAAUUUGGUAAGUAACAAAGGGGCAAACUUGGGCUAGAUCUUUCUUAAGGAAAUCUGCUUUAUUAGUCAUUUUAAGAUUAAAAUUAUGAUCAGAUUGCUCUUUUCUUGAACAUAUUUCAUUUUCAAUAUAUUUUAUUAGGUGCCCGAUGCAAGAAAACUUAUCAUAGUUGCCUUAAAUAACAAACGUUCCUGACAAGAGUGUGACCUCAAAGACUGCAGGUUUUAAGAAGAUGCUUGCCAUGUUGUCAACAGUCACCGCUGAGAUAAUGCAGUAGAACGAGUUAUACGAGAACCUGAAGGAACUAUGGAAAGUGAAAGAAUUAUUUUUUCUCAAAAAGCAGAUGUCCUUUCACAACAGGAAGGACAAUAUAAUUGUCAUUCUGACCAUUUGCCAAAUGAGGACACUGAGAUGAGAUGAGUCGCUUACAUUGCCCAUGGCCAAAUGGCUGGGUCUCCCUCUGUCACCCAGGAUGGAAUACAGUGAUGCAGUCAUGGCUCUCUGCUGCUUCCACCUCCCAGGCUCAAGUGAUCCUCCCACCUCAACCUCCCCAGCAGCACCAGCACACCCAGCUACCUUUUGAAGAGACAGGAUUUCACCAUGUUGCACCGGCUGGUCUCAAACUCACAGGCUUCAGCAAACCUCCUGCCUCAGUCUCCUAA
rnacentral:lncRNA from 1 species